UACAAACUUACAAGGUGCAUGCCAAAAGUCAUGGGACAUGUAUGUUAAUUGGUCAUGAAGAGGACGGCUUGAAUGGGGUUGGGUUGUGCACUCAGAUCCUACAGUCAGCCACCAUGAAAGCUGUGCUGCUUAUCUGUAUCUUGGGUGCUGCUCUGGUGUUGCCAGCACUGGCACAAGACAAGGGUGCCAAAAACCAACAACAACCACAACAUAUUCCCACUUUUUACACUGCUCUAAAUAACAAUAAUGAAGAUGUGAUGAAAAUCAUUUUCGGCGGAAUGACGCCUGAAGAGAUACAAGCAUGGAAGGAAAAACAACAGCAACAAAAUAAUGGCCCUCCAUGCUAGAAUGGAAGUGCAGUGAGCAGUGAGCCUGACCAAGAAAUCAAAUGAUCAUCUGUUCCAGAACUUACAUAUGAUACAAGUAAAUCUGUGAAAAACAUAGAAUUAUGGACACUUACAAUCAAAUUGUACUACUGGUGAACAUUUGUAGUGUACUGAUGUAAUGAUACAUAAAUAAAUAAAUAAACAAAUAAAUAAAUUUCCACUCAUUACAGGCUUUUCCAUGAUCUUGUGGAGUAAAAGGAAGUCAUUAAAGUCAUUGGAACAUCACAGCCUUUUUUGUUUAAAAAUGUACAUAAUACAUAUUUAUUUAAACAACUAUUAAAGCCUUUACUUU
rnacentral:lncRNA from 1 species